rnacentral:rRNA from 1 species
AUUGAACGCUGGCGGCAUGCCUUACACAUGCAAGUCGAACGGCAGCACGGGGGCAACCCUGGUGGCGAGUGGCGAACGGGUGAGUAACAUAUCGGAACAUACCCUAGAGUGGGGAUAACGUAGCGAAAGUUACGCUAAUACCGCAUGCGAUCUAAGGAUGAAAGUGGGGGAUCUUCGGACCUCAUGCUCAUGGAGUGGCCGAUAUCUGAUUAGCUAGUUGGUGAGGUAAAGGCUCACCAAGGCGACGAUCAGUAGCUGGUUUGAGAGAACGACCAGCCACACUGGAACUGAGACACGGUCCAGACUCCUACGGGAGGCAGCAGUGGGGAAUUUUGGACAAUGGGGGCAACCCUGAUCCAGCAAUGCCGCGUGAGUGAAGAAGGCCUC